rnacentral:tRNA from 4 species
GGGCCGGUAGCUCAGUCCGGCAGAGCGUCUGACUCUUAAUCAGACGGUCGAGGGUUCAAAUCCCUUCCGGCCCG